GUGGGGAAUCUUAGACAAUGGGGGAAACCCUGAUCUAGCCAUGCCGCGUGAGCGAUGAAGGCCUUAGGGUUGUAAAGCUCUUUCAGAGGGGAAGAUAAUGACGGUACCCUCAGAAGAAGCCCCGGCUAACUCCGUGCCAGCAGCCGCGGUAAUACGGAGGGGGCUAGCGUUGUUCGGAAUUACUGGGCGUAAAGCGCACGUAGGCGGACCAGAAAGUCAGGGGUGAAAUCCCGGGGCUCAACCCCGGAACUGCCUUUGAAACUCCUGGUCUUGAGGUCGAGAGAGGUGAGUGGAAUUCCGAGUGUAGAGGUGAAAUUCGUAGAUAUUCGGAGGAACACCAGUGGCGAAGGCGGCUCACUGGCUCGAUACUGACGCUGAGGUGCGAAAGCGUGGGGAGCAAACAGGAUUAGAUACCCGAGUAGUUC
rnacentral:rRNA from 1 species